AGCCGCGCGGUGAGCACAUCGCGAACUAUUCUUUCGCCUUUUACUAAAGAAUACCGUGUGCGCGUCGCUGAUAGCGGCAUACACCAAUUUUUGGAGGUUUGACUUUGCUGUCGAGCC
rfam:Jatropha curcas cultivar GZQX0401 scaffold160_63, whole genome shotgun sequence.